UUACUGCUAUCGGUGUUCGCCUAAGCCAUGCGAGUCAUAUGUUCUUCGUGAACAUGGCGUACUGCUCAGUAACACGUGGAUAACCUGCCCUUGGGUCCGGCAUAACCCCGGGAAACUGGGGAUAAUUCCGGAUAACGCACAUAUGCUGGAAUGCUUUAUGCGUAAAAUGGAUUCGUCUGCCCAAGGAUGGGUCUGCGGCCUAUCAGGUAGUAGUGGGUGUAAUGUACCUACUAGCCAACAACGGGUACGGGUUGUGAGAGCAAGAGCCCGGAGAUGGAUUCUGAGACAUGAAUCCAGGCCCUACGGGGCGCAGCAGGCGCGAAAACUUUACAAUGCGGGAAACCGUGAUAAGGGGACACCGAGUGCCAGCGUCAUACGCUGGCUGUCCAGGUGUGUAAAAUACACCUGUUAGCAAGGGCCGGGCAAGACCGGUGCCAGCCGCCGCGGUAACACCGGCGGCCCGAGUGGUGAUCGUGAUUAUUGGGUCUAAAGGGUCCGUAGCCGGUUUGGUCAGUCCUCCGGGAAAUCUGAUAGCUCAACUAUUAGGCUUUCGGGGGAUACUGCCAGACUUGGAACCGGGAGAGGUAAGAGGUACUACAGGGGUAGGAGUGAAAUCUUGUAAUCCCUGUGGGACCACCUGUGGCGAAGGCGUCUUACCAGAACGGGUUCGACGGUGAGGGACGAAAGCUGGGGGCACGAACCGGAUUAGAUACCCGGGUAGUCCCAGCCGUAAACGAUGCUCGCUAGGUGUCAGGCAUGGCGC
rnacentral:rRNA from 1 species